rnacentral:rRNA from 1 species
UACGGGGGGGGCAAGCGUUGUUCGGAAUUACUGGGCGUAAAGCGUGCGUAGGUGGUUCGUUAAGUCUGAUGUGAAAGCCCUGGGCUCAACCUGGGAAUGGCAUUGGAAACUGGCGACCUAGAGUGCGGUAGAGGGUAGUGGAAUUCCCGGUGUAGCAGUGAAAUGCGUAGAGAUCGGGAGGAACAUCCGUGGCGAAGGCGACUACCUGGACCAGCACUGACACUGAGGCACGAAAGCGUGGGGAGCAAACAGG